rnacentral:misc_RNA from 1 species
UUUGCCCCUAUCUAUGCCGGUUCCACUGUAAUUUUAAUGUUUUUACUAGUUCCAAUAUAGACACAUGCACGCAUGUUCCUAUUGGAAAAUUUAGUUUUUUUGGUAGGUGAGAUUGAUUUUGUUUUUCUAUUUGCCCCUAUCUAUGCCGGUUCCACUGUUGAAUUUAUGUCAAAAUUUAGUGUGAGGGGAAUCUGGCAAAGAUGGCGAGAAUCAUAUCAAAUAAAAGGGAAAAAAGCUGAUGAUGCUAUAACAGUGUUUACAGGAGUUCCAACCAUGUACACUCGAUUGAUACAAGGUUAUGAAGCAAUGGACCCAGAGCUUCAGGCAGCUUCUGCCUCUGCUGCAGGACAAUUGCGGCUAAUGAUGUGUGGCUCCUCAGCCCUCCCUCUUCCUGUCAUGGAACAAUGGGAAACCAUCACAGGGCAUCGCCUUCUAGAAAGAUAUGGCAUGACCGAGUUUGUCAUGGCAAUAUCAAAUCCCUUAAAAGGUGUGCGAAAGGCAGGCACUGUAGGCAAACCAUUUCCUGGAGUGCAGGUCAAGAUUGUAGAAGAUGAAAGUGAAAAUGAUACAACAGGGGUGGGUGAGCUUUGCGUUAAAAGCCCUUCAUUGUUCAAAGAGUAUUGGAAACUUCCCAAGGUAACCAGUGAAUCAUUUACUGAUGAUGGCUUCUUCAAGACAGGAGAUGCUGGCAAAAUAGAUGAAGAUGGUUACUACAUAAUUUUGGGACGAACAAGUGCUGAUAUCAUGAAAGUUGGGGGAUACAAAUUAUCAGCAUUAGAAAUUGAAUCAGUCCUUUUGGAGUAUCCAGCUGUUGCUGAAUGCUGUGUUUUGGGUUUGCCGGACAAAGAUUAUGGAGAUGCUGUGUGUGCAAUUGUUGUGCUAGAGGAAGCAGAAAAAAGAAAAAGAGAGGAAGAGUUAAAGCCUGCUCUAAUCUUGGAAGAACUCUGUGAGUGGGCUAAAGGAAAGCUUGCACCAUACAAGCUACCUACUCGAUUGUUCUUGUGGGACGGACUACCUCGUAAUGCCAUGGGGAAGGUGAACAAGAAAGAGUUGAAAAAGGUGCUGGCAGCUGAACAAUAAAAUCUGGAGCAUUCCUUCUUGAAACAGGC